AGUGAUGAUCUAUUUGCUUUGGCAUGCUUACCGGAUAAGCGAGUGAGAGUGUAUUCAGCAUGCAUUGCUGACGGUGUCCGGUACCACACCGUUGACCGCGAGGAAAAAAGGAAGACACAUAAUAGUGGAAUCGUCACUGAGGGGUCACAUGAUGGUGAGAUCAUUGACUUCUAUGGUCAGUUGAGAAGCAUCAUAGAGUUGCAGUACAACUCUAGUGGAGGCAUCCAUCGCUCGGUUGUCUUAUUUCGCUGUGACCGGUUUGAGCUUGGUAGCAAGAAGAGGAGAGACUCUUUUGUCAAAUAUGAUGGCCACUUCAAAAGCAUCAACACUGCAAGGUGCUGGUAUAAGAGUGAUCCCUUUAUUCUAACAACACAAGCAACAAUGGUGUUUUAUCUGCCAGACACUCUUUUGCACGGAAAAUGGCGAAUUGUGCAAAACUUUCAGCACAUACACUUGUGGAGUGUGACUGAAACUGAAGUGGAAAAGGGCCCCGGUGAUGGUGGACUAACAUACCAAGAUGAUGACUCUACGGAAGUUCCGUUGCAAGCUGAUGAUGACUCUAUGGAAGUUCCGGUACAAAGCAGAGUGCAAAGGGACUGGGAACGUGUGAUCAUUGGUGCUGCAACAGUUGAAGGCAUCAAGAAAAGAAGAAAGGUGGUAGAGGAUGGACAUGAAAGCGAGGAUGAGGAAAACCGGACUGAUCAUACUAUGCUGCAAUAUUGUAGUGAUGAUGAGGAAAACAGGAGUGGGCAUAGAGUUCCUUGUUUUCGUAUCGACGACGAUGAGUAG
rnacentral:rRNA from 1 species